rnacentral:rRNA from 1 species
CCUACGGGGGGCAGCAGUAGGGAAUAUUGCUCAAUGGGGGCAACCCUGAAGCAGCAACGCCGCGUGGAGGAUGAAGGUUUUCGGAUUGUAAACUCCUUUUUUUAGAGAAGAUAAUGACGGUAUCUAACGAAUAAGCACCGGCUAACUCCGUGCCAGCAGCCGCGGUAAUACGGAGGGUGCAAGCGUUACUCGGAUUCACUGGGCGUAAAGCGGGCGUAGGCGGGAUAGCAGGUCAGAUGUGAAAUCCUAUGGCUUAACCAUAGAACUGCAGUUGAAACUGUCAUUCUAGAGUAUGGGAGAGGUAGGUGGAAUUCUUGGUGUAGGGGUAAAAUGCGUAGAGAUCAAGAGGAAUACUGAUUGCGAAGGCGACCUGCUAGAACAUAACUGACGCUGAUGCGCGAAAGCGUGGGGAGCAAACAGGAUUAGAUACCCCUGUAGUC